rnacentral:rRNA from 1 species
UGGGGAAUAUUGCACAAUGGGCGCAAGCCUGAUGCAGCCAUGCCGCGUGUAUGAAGAAGGCCUUCGGGUUGUAAAGUACUUUCAGCGGGGAGGAAGGCGAUAAGGUUAAUAACCUUGUCGUUUGACGUUACCCGCAGAAGAAGCACCGGCUAACUCCGUGCCAGCAGCCGCGGUAAUACGGAGGGUGCAAGCGUUAAUCGGAAUUACUGGGCGUAAAGCGCACGCAGGCGGUCUGUCAAGUCGGAUGUGAAAUCCCCGGGCUCAACCUGGGAACUGCAUUCGAAACUGGCAGGCUAGAGUCUUGUAGAGGGGGGUAGAAUUCCAGGUGUAGCGGUGAAAUGCGUAGAGAUCUGGAGGAAUACCGGUGGCGAAGGCGGCCCCCUGGACAAAGACUGACGCUCAGGUGCGAAAGCGUGGGGAGCAAACA